rnacentral:rRNA from 1 species
AUUGAACGCUGGCGGCAGGCCUAACACAUGCAAGUCGAGCGAGAGGCGGACGGGUGAGAAAUGUAUGGGGACUGCCCGAUAGAGGGGGAUAACACCACGAAACGGUAGCUAUUACCGCAUACUAUCGGAUAACCCAUAUGGGAUUAGCUAGUAGGGGAGGUAAUGGCUCACCUAGGGGACGCUCCCUAGCUGGUCUGAGAGGAUGAUCAGCCAAACGGGGACUGAGACACGGCCCAGACGCCUACGGAGGCAGCAGUGGGGAAUAUUGCACAAUGGGCGCAAGCCUGAUGCAGCCAUGCCGCGUGUAUGAAGAAGGCCCUAGGGUUGUAAAGUACUUUCAGUGGGGAGGCGUUACCGACAGAAGAAGCACCGGCUAACUCCGUGCCAGCAGCCGCGGUAAUAC